UGUUUAAUUUUUAUUAAAUUGCAAAUUUAAUUAAUCUAAAUUUCAUAAAUUUAGUUAAACAU
rnacentral:tRNA from 1 species